CGGGGUGCAGCAGGCGCGAAAACUUUACAAUGCUGGCAACAGCGAUAAGGGGACCUCGAGUGCCAGGUUACAAAUCUGGCUGUCGUGAUGCCUAAAAAGCAUUGCAUAGCAAGGGCCGGGCAAGACCGGUGCCAGCCGCCGCGGUAACACCGGCGGCUCGAGUGGUAACCGUUAUUAUUGGGUCUAAAGGGUCUGUAGCCGGCCGGAUAAGUCUCUUGGGAAAUCUGGCAGCUUAACUGUCAGGCUUUCAGGAGAUACUGUCUGGCUCGAGGCCGGGAGAGGUGAGAGGUACUUCAGGGGUAGGGGUGAAAUCUUGUAAUCCUUGAAGGACCACCAGUGGCGAAGGCGUCUCACCAGAACGGACCUGACGGCAAGGGACGAAAGCUAGGGGCACGAACCGGAUUAGAUACCCGGGUAGUCCUAGCCGUAAACGAUACUCGCUAGGUGUCGGCCACGGUGCGACCGUUGUCGGUGCCGUAGGGAAGCCGUGAAGCGAGCCACCUGGGAAGUACGGCCGCAAGGCUGAAACUUAAAGGAAUUGGCG
rnacentral:rRNA from 1 species